ACCUACAGGCCAGGAGGGCGAGCUUUGAAAGUUUGUAAUAAGAGUAGGUGGUG
rnacentral:tRNA from 1 species